rnacentral:rRNA from 1 species
AUUGAACGCUGGCGGCAGGCUUAACACAUGCAAGUCGAGCGGGGUGAUGGUGCUUGCACUAUCACUUAGCGGCGGACGGGUGAGUAAUGCUUAGGAAUCUGCCUAUUAGUGGGGGACAACAUCUCGAAAGGGAUGCUAAUACCGCAUACGUCCUACGGGAGAAAGCAGGGGAUCACUUGUGACCUUGCGCUAAUAGAUGAGCCUAAGUCGGAUUAGCUAGUUGGUGGGGUAAAGGCCUACCAAGGCGACGAUCUGUAGCGGGUCUGAGAGGAUGAUCCGCCACACUGGGACUGAGACACGGCCCAGACUCCUACGGGAGGUAGCAGUGGGGAAUAUUGGACAAUGGGGGGAACCCUGAUCCAGCCAUGCCGCGUGUGUGAAGAAGGCCUUAUGGUUGUAAAGCACUUUAAGCGAGGAGGAGGCUCUUUUGGUUAAUACCCAAGAUGAGUGGACGUUACUCCCAGAAUAAGCACCGGCUAACUCUGUGCCAGCCGCCGCGGUAAAAC